rnacentral:lncRNA from 1 species
GCUCUAAUCUUUGCAACAUUAGAGUAGUAAUUAAUAGAUUAGACGUGGUGUUUAGUCUUGCAAUUACCUGGAAUUGCACCCAAUCCUGUGAAUUGUUGUGGUAGCCUUAGGGUAGUGACAGCCCUAACGGUCGACGUAUUCCACCUCGUUCGGAUCGGUGUUUGUAGGACCGUAGUCAGACCUUCCUAGCCCCCUUCUCAUCUCUUUCUAUGGUUAGUGUUGUGAUGUCCCGAUAUAGAUAAUCUUGAAGUAAUUCUUGAUUCUUAGAUCAACUAGAGAACUCUCAGGAAAUUUCCUCUCUUCCCACCAAAAAUAAUUAUAUAGUUAUCCUUGGGCGAUCUUGAUUCUUAAUUAGUACACUCACGUUCCCUAUGGAAAAUCGAUACUCUGGAA